rnacentral:rRNA from 1 species
UACGAAGGUGGCAAGCGUUGUUCGGAAUCACUGGGCUUAAAGCGCAUGUAGGCGGCCGUGUAAGCGUCUUGUGAAAUCCCUCGGCUCAACCGAGGAAUUGCUGGGCGAACUGCACGGCUUGAGGCAGGUAGGGGUGCGUGGAACUCUUGGUGGAGCGGUGAAAUGCGUAGAUAUCAAGAGGAACGCCGGAGGCGAAAGCGGCGCACUGGGCCUGCCCUGACGCUGAGAUGCGAAAGCUAGGGGAGCAAAC